GGAUUUAUACUAUUGCAGAAGAGCAGAGAGAUAUAUAGGAGAAAGACGUGAAGGAAGGAACAAAAAAGGAUUCUUGUCUUUCUCCUUAUCUCUUUGCCCUUCUGUAUCUCUUUAUCAUAGUGCAUCCUUUCACAGUUGUUACAUUGUACAACCUAACUUGGAUUUAACAGUUUUUUUGAUUUAAAUUUCUGUUUUUUCUGUAUUUAUGCAGAGGAAACAAGACUGACAUGCAUGUUUGGUGAGGACAUGAACGAAAGAAGACAAGCUUUUAAGCUUCUUGAUGAAAAGUCAGUGACUGCACUAAAAUGCAACUGGAAACAAGGGAAUCUGUGGUGCGUUGUGAGUGAGGUUACAUCUACGACUGGAAAAUAUCGGACACUGUCACCGUCCGGAGACACCAACGAUCGGAGUCACCAACAUGUUCUUGUUUUCUAGUUGAUGCUGACAACACUGAAUAUGAAAGACCCUGUAUUUCUGAGGAUGGGAAUACUGAAGCAAGUUCCAGGCGAACAUCAAAAGUUCCUGAACACAUUCCUUCAACUGUUCCUGAAAUAAAAGACCAAACCCAGACUUCGCAGAUAAUGCAGGGUGGAGUGUCCAUGUGAUCAUCCUUCUGGUGUAUCCACCGCACUGAUAUCCAUUUUUGCUGCCACGGUGGUCUUCGUUCUGGCAUUAAAACGUCUUCGCCGUCGCGCUUCUGACAAAACUUCACAGGGGAAACUUCUUCGAAACAAUCAUGAGAAUAAUAAUGGUAAUAAGGCUGCAGACGUCUAAAUCCCAGUCAUCUGCUAUCCUGAGCCUCAUGGUGUCUCAACACCAAGCAUUGUGUCAAGUGUUUGUUUAUAUCUAUCAGAGACUGAUACUUUUUGUACAUCAUUUAUAUCGAGAAGUCUUGCUGCUGGCUUACAUACAGUCGCCUUCUACAGAGAGAAGAGAAGACAAUGAAGGAAGAUUUU